rnacentral:rRNA from 1 species
GAUCCUGGCUCAGGAUGAACGCUAGCGGAGGCCUAACACAUGCAAGCCGAGCGGUAUUGUUCUUCGGAAAUGAGAGAGCGGCGUACGGGUGCGGAACACGUGUGCAACCUGCCUUUAUCUGGGGGAUAGCCUUUCGAAAGGAAGAUUAAUACUCCAUAACAUAUUGAACGGCAUCGUUUGAUAUUGAAAGCUCCGGCGGAUAGAGAUGGGCACGCGCAAGAUUAGCUAGUUGGUGAGGUAACGGCUCACCAAGGCGAUGAUCUUUAGGGGGCCUGAGAGGGUGAUCCCCCACACUGGUACUGAGACACGGACCAGACUCCUACGGGAGGCAGCAGUGAGGAAUAUUGGUCAAUGGGUGCAAGCCUGAACCAGCCAUCCCGCGUGAAGGACGACUGCCCUAUGGGUUGUAAACUUCUUUUGUAUAGGGAUAAACCUACCCUCGUGAGGGUAGCUGAAGGUACUAUACGAAUAAGCACCGGCUAACUCCGUG